CGGGAAACCGGAGCUAAUACCGGAUAAGAUAUCGAACCGCAUGGUUCGAUAGUGAAAGAUGGUUUUGCUAUCACUUAUAGAUGGACCCGCGCCGUAUUAGCUAGUUGGUGAGGUAACGGCUCACCAAGGCAACGAUACGUAGCCGACCUGAGAGGGUGAUCGGCCACACUGGAACUGAGACACGGUCCAGACUCCUACGGGAGGCAGCAGAC
rnacentral:rRNA from 1 species